rnacentral:rRNA from 1 species
AUAAUGGGUCAGCGACUUAUAUUCUGUAGCAAGGUUAACCGAAUAGGGGAGCCGAAGGGAAACCGAGUCUUAACUGGGCGUUAAGUUGCAGGGUAUAGACCCGAAACCCGGUGAUCUAGCCAUGGGCAGGUUGAAGGUUGGGUAACACUAACUGGAGGACCGAACCGACUAAUGUUGAAAAAUUAGCGGAUGACUUGUGGCUGGGGGUGAAAGGCCAAUCAAACCGGGAGAUAGCUGGUUCUCCCCGAAAGCUAUUUAGGUAGCGCCUCGUGAAUUCAUCUCCGGGGGUAGAGCACUGUUUCGGCAAGGGGGUCAUCCCGACUUACCAACCCGAUGCAAACUGCGAAUACCGGAGAAUGUUAUCACGGGAGACACACGGCGGGUGCUAACGUCCGUCGUGAAGAGGGAAACAACCCAGACCGCCAGCUAAGGUCCCAAAGUCAUGGUUAAGUGGGAAACGAUGUGGGAAGGCCCAGACAGCCAGGAUGUUGGCUUAGAAGCAGCCAUCAUUUAAAGAAAGCGUAAUAGCUCACUGGUCGAGUCGGCCUGCGCGGAAGAUGUAACGGGGCUAAACCAUGCACCGAAGCUGCGGCAGCGACACUAUGUGUUGUUGGGUAGGGGAGCGUUCUGUAAGCCUGUGAAGGUGGCCUGUGAGGGUUGCUGGAGGUAUCAGAAGUGCGAAUGCUGACAUAAGUAACGAUAAAGCGGGUGAAAAGCCCGCUCGCCGGAAGACCAAGGGUUCCUGUCCAACGUUAAUCGGGGCAGGGUGAGUCGACCCCUAAGGCGAGGCCGAAAGGCGUAGUCGAUGGGAAACAGGUUAAUAUUCCUGUACUUGGUGUUACUGCGAAGGGGGGACGGAGAAGGCUAUGUUGGCCGGGCGACGGUUGUCCCGGUUUAAGCGUGUAGGCUGGUUUUCCAGGCAAAUCCGGAAAACCAAGGCUGAGGCGUGAUGACGAGGCACUACGGUGCUGAAGCGACAAAUGCCCUGCUUCCAGGAAAAGCCUCUAAGCAUCAGGUAACAUCAAAUCGUACCCCAAACCGACACAGGUGGUCAGGUAGAGAAUACCAAGGCGCUUGAGAGAACUCGGGUGAAGGAACUAGGCAAAAUGGUGCCGUAACUUCGGGAGAAGGCACGCUGAUAUGUAGGUGAAGCGACUUGCUCGUGGAGCUGAAAUCAGUCGAAGAUACCAGCUGGCUGCAACUGUUUAUUAAAAACACAGCACUGUGCAAACACGAAAGUGGACGUAUACGGUGUGACGCCUGCCCGGUGCCGGAAGGUUAAUUGAUGGGGUUAGCGGCAACGCGAAGCUCUUGAUCGAAGCCCCGGUAAACGGCGGCCGUAACUAUAACGGUCCUAAGGUAGCGAAAUUCCUUGUCGGGUAAGUUCCGACCUGCACGAAUGGCGUAAUGAUGGCCAGGCUGUCUCCACCCGAGACUCAGUGAAAUUGAACUCGCUGUGAAGAUGCAGUGUACCCGCGGCAAGACGGAAAGACCCCGUGAACCUUUACUAUAGCUUGACACUGAACAUUGAGCCUUGAUGUGUAGGAUAGGUGGGAGGCUUUGAAGUGUGGACGCCAGUCUGCAUGGAGCCGACCUUGAAAUACCACCCUUUAAUGUUUGAUGUUCUAACGUUGGCCCGUAAUCCGGGUUGCGGACAGUGUCUGGUGGGUAGUUUGACUGGGGCGGUCUCCUCCUAAAGAGUAACGGAGGAGCACGAAGGUUGGCUAAUCCUGGUCGGACAUCAGGAGGUUAGUGCAAUGGCAUAAGCCAGCUUGACUGCGAGCGUGACGGCGCGAGCAGGUGCGAAAGCAGGUCAUAGUGAUCCGGUGGUUCUGAAUGGAAGGGCCAUCGCUCAACGGAUAAAAGGUACUCCGGGGAUAACAGGCUGAUACCGCCCAAGAGUUCAUAUCGACGGCGGUGUUUGGCACCUCGAUGUCGGCUCAUCACAUCCUGGGGCUGAAGUAGGUCCCAAGGGUAUGGCUGUUCGCCAUUUAAAGUGGUACGCGAGCUGGGUUUAGAACGUCGUGAGACAGUUCGGUCCCUAUCUGCCGUGGGCGCUGGAGAACUGAGGGGGGCUGCUCCUAGUACGAGAGGACCGGAGUGGACGCAUCACUGGUGUUCGGGUUGUCAUGCCAAUGGCACUGCCCGGUAGCUAAAUGCGGAAGAGAUAAGUGCUGAAAGCAUCUAAGCACGAAACUUGCCCCGAGAUGAGUUCUCCCUGAGACUUAGAGUCUCCUGAAGGAACGUUGAAGACGACGACGUUGAUAGGCCGGGUGUGUAAGCGCAGCGAUGCGUUGAGCUAACCGGUACUAAUGAACCGUGAGGCUUAACCUU